CAGAAAAUACAAAUGAUGCCAAAGAAGAAAAGAGAAAAGGAACUUGGACUGUACCAUUUUCUUUGCAGCUCCUAAGAUCUAGGAGGUGAAUUUCCUUCUGUUGAGGAGUCGGAAAUUUAGACUGUCCUGAAGAUAUUAAAUGAAGAUUAUUAUUGAAAAAAAGAGCACCUUGAAGUACUAGAAGAAUUUGAAAACAAAUUAACUUGGUGAAAUAGUCCUACUGGAUAUGACAGAACACCAAGAGAAAUGGUGAAAAAUUACACAACUUAUCACAAGAAGAUAAAAGCUUUUUGCAAUUUUCGGUGGUUCUGAGAUCAGUUACAGUCAAAGGAAAAAAAAAUACUGAACAUGUAUUAACGAUUCAUCGAUCUUAUGAUGUAUCUUGAUUGAUAUCUUAAAACAUAUUGACUGUAAACUAGUUACAAAUUCACCAAUUAUAUCUGUUGUUCACAAAAUUUGUUAUUGUUGUUAGUUGGAAAUAUCUGUUGAAUGUUUUGAAAUUAAAAUGUGUAAAUUUAAAUGAUGUUCAUUGAAGUCUUUAAAUGAUACAAAAGGAAGGAUACAUGGAAUAAUUGCCAUUGAGACAACUACUUUUCCUGCAUAGGAGGGCAGUGAUGUAAACAACUACAGUUCACCUUAAGCCUUCAACAAUGUGCAAAAUCCAUAAGUUAAAGACAGUUAUAAAAGGUCCCAAGAUAAUGGUACUUAUACUUAUACAUCCUUGGCAUUCAAAUUUUUGGUUUGAGUGUUUCUGAUGAAGGUAAAUUAAAAAAAUGCACAGCAAAACUUAAUUUAUAAAAUGUUUUUUUUUCAAUUUCAAAAGAGAAUACUAAUGGCCAAAUUUAAGCAAAUACCAAAAAAGAAAAUCGAUUAUGGCAGACAGCAACCAAACACAACCACUGGACUUUAUGAUCCUGUUUUGGAGUGCUCAAACUGCACCAUAACCUGGGACUCAUAAACAUCUUAUAUAAUACUGAAAGACAGAAAAGUGUAAAGUG